rnacentral:lncRNA from 1 species
UUUAGAGGACAUUAUUGCCAAUGCCUCAACUCUCGACUUGAUUACUCAAGAAUGGAGAUACCUAAAUUCUGAUAACUUCUUCAACAUAUGAUCAUGAGUUUGAUCUUUAAUUUAUGUAUGUCAAUGAAAAAAAAAUUAUAGAUCCAUCUUUAACCUAAGUGUAUAAUAGAAAAGCCAAAAGUUUAUUUGGUUACAUACACUGCCUAAGACAAUCAUCCUCAACCAAAUCAAAGAAAUUCAUUAAUCGAAAGCACUAGGAAGUAUGAACUAUGAAGCAAAUCAACUAAAUACUAUAUGAGGUAGACAAAAAGAAAUCAUAACCAUAAUUUAUUAUUCAUUGAUAUAGUUUCAUUUUAUUACAUAACAUCAAUUACCAUCUUCAAUUUUUAAUUGGUGGAGGGUGAGGACAACAUUUUGGAUUUAAUAUACAAGCUUCAACCGGUGGCACACAAUAAUCUUCUUCGAGUCUUCUUGCGCCAUGAACAACUUUCACAUAGAUAGUUGCAAUGGCAACAAACACCAGCAUCAACUUCAGCAUCAUCUUCAAUGUUUUUGCCAUUAUAUCUUCAAGUGUUUCUUUUGCAGAGAAAAUAAGUUCUUGUGAUAUUUGUUUUACUAUGUGUACGUAUUUAUACACAAAGGUAUUGAGACCUCCAUCAUAAUAAUAAUUGGGCAAAUUUGUCAUUUAAC